rnacentral:rRNA from 1 species
AUGGGAGGACAUUCAGGAGUAAGAGCCACUUAUCAUAGAAUCAAGAGGAUUUUCUACUGGCCAAAUCUAAAACAACAAGUGGAGAAAUUCAUACAUCAAUGUCCAGUUUGUCAGAGAGCAAAAGGGGAACACUGUCAUUAUCUUGGACUGCUUGACCCACUGCCAAUUCCAGAUAUGGCUUGGAGACACAUCUCAAUGGAUUUUGUAGAAGGGCUACCAAAAUCUCAGGGCAAAGAUGUGAUACUGGUGGUAGUAGACAGAUUUACAAAGUACUCCCACUUCAUUGCACUAUCACACCCAUUCACUGUAACUCAUGUGCUGCAAGCAUUUAUUGAUAAUGUGUUCAAAUUGCAUGGUAUGCCAGUGUCUAUGGUCACUGACAGAGAUACUAUAUUCACAAGCAAUUUUUGGCAAGCCUUGUUCAAAUCACUGGGAGUAAAACUCCACAUGAGCACAACACAUCAUCCCCAGUCUGAUGGGCAAACAGAAAGGGCCAAUCAGUACUUAGAGGCUUAUCUUAGAGUGAUGGCUUUUCAAGAACCUAAGAAGUGGUGCUCCUGGUUAUCAAUGGCAGAGUGGUGGUCCAAUACUACUUAUCACACAGCUACAAAGUUUACUCCAUUCCAGUGUUUAUAUGGGUUUCCUCCUCCCCUCAUUGGAGAAGUCUCAAUCCCUGGACCUAGUGAUUCUGGAGCAGAAUCCUUUUUGCAACAAAGAGAAGUCAUGCAACAACAACUGAAACAAAACCUACUUGUCGCACAACAACGCAUGAAGAAAUAUGCUGAUGCAAACAGAACUGAGAGGCACUUUACAGAGGGAGAAAUGGUAUAUCUGAAAAUGCAACCAUACAGAUUCGCUGUAUUCGGAAUAAGAACUGGAUUGAAGCUUGCAACAAAAUUCUAUGGUCCUUCUAGGAUCUUACAAAAGCUAGGGAACUCCUCUUACAAACUACUGCUACCUGACUCCGCACAGAUACACAAUGUGUUCCAUGUGAGUCAACUCAAACGACAUAUUGGACCAACAGUUGUCCCUGCCCCAGGAUUACCACUUGUGGAUGCUGCUGGCAAGAUCAAAGUAGCUCCGAUCAUGGUCUUGGAAACACAUGCAGUACCUCGACCCCCUAAACUGGUAACACAAUGGCUCGUGCAAUGGUUGAACAUGUCCCCAGAAGAAGCUACUUGGGAGGAUGCUGACUUUAUCAAAUUCACCUUCCCGGAAUUCUUCAACGCAACAAUCCGCGCUUGGUUCCCACAAAACGAUCCUUGGGGACAAGGAUCUUCUUCUGGAGAGGGCAAUUGUCAGGACCCUGCAGUGCAAACACAAUCCUCUGAAGAAAUGAACUGCUUAACUGAAGAAAUGAACAGCGAGGAUGAAGCGUUACUGACCUGGGAAAUGGAGGGCCAAGAUUGA